ACGGAAGGCAGCAGUGGGGAAUAUUGCACAAUGGGGGGAACCCUGAUGCAGCAACGCCACGUGUGGGAAGAAGCAUUUCGGUGUGUAAACCACUGUCGUGGGGGAAUAAUGCUUGAUUUCGGUCAAGCUGAAUGUACCUCGAAAGGAAGCACCGGCAAACUUCGUGCCAGCAGCCGCGGUAAUACGAGGGGUGCAGGCGUUGUUCGGAAUCACUGGGCGUAAAGGGAGCGUAGGCGGAGACGCAAGCAGUCUGUACAAUACCGGGGCCCAACCCCGGACCUGCAGACUGGACUGUGUCUCUUGGAUAGUUCAGGGGCAGGCGGAAUUCCUGGUGUAGCGGUGGAAUGCGUAGAGAUCAGGAAGAACACCGAUGGCGAAGGCAGCCUGCUGGGGACUCAUCGACGCUGAGGCUCGAAAGUGCGGGUAGCAAACAGGAUUAGAUACCCUGGUA
rnacentral:rRNA from 1 species